AGUGAGCGCUGGCGGUAGGCCUAACACAUGCAAGUCGAACGGCAGCACAGUAAGAGCUUGCUCUUACGGGUGGCGAGUGGCGGACGGGUGAGGAAUACAUCGGAAUCUACUUUUUCGUGGGGGAUAACGUAGGGAAACUUACGCUAAUACCGCAUACGACCUACGGGUGAAAGCAGGGGAUCUUCGGACCUUGCGCGAUUGAAUGAGCCGAUGCCGGAUUAGCUAGUUGGCGGGGUAAAGGCCCACCAAGGCGACGAUCCGUAGCUGGUCUGAGAGGAUGAUCAGCCACACUGGAACUGAGACACGGUCCAGACUCCUACGGGAGGCAGCAGUGGGGAAUAUUGGACAAUGGGCGCAAGCCUGAUCCAGCCAUACCGCGUGGGUGAAGAAGGCCUUCGGGUUGUAAAGCCCUUUUGUUGGGAAAGAAAAGCAGCAGGUUAAUACCCCGCUGUUCUGACGGUACCCAAAGAAUAAGCACCGGCUAACUUCGUG
rnacentral:rRNA from 1 species